AGCGAACGCUGGCGGCAGGCCUAACACAUGCAAGUCGAACGGACCCUUCGGGGUUAGUGGCGGACGGGUGAGUAACACGUGGGAACGUGCCUUUAGGUUCGGAAUAGCUCCUGGAAACGGGUGGUAAUGCCGAAUGUGCCCUUCGGGGGAAAGAUUUAUCGCCUUUUGAGCGGCCCGCGUCUGAUUAGCUAGUUGGUGAGGUAAUGGCUCACCAAGGCGACGAUCAGUAGCUGGUCUGAGAGGAUGACCAGCCACACUGGGACUGAGACACGGCCCAGACUCCUACGGGAGGCAGCAGUGGGGAAUCUUGCGCAAUGGGCGAAAGCCUGACGCAGCCAUGCCGCGUGAAUGAUGAAGGUCUUAGGAUUGUAAAAUUCUUUCACCGGGGACGAUAAUGACGGUACCCGGAGAAGAAGCCCCGGCUAACUUCGUGCCAGCAGCCGCAGUAA
rnacentral:rRNA from 1 species